ensembl:snRNA U6 U6 spliceosomal RNA
GUGCUCGCUUCAGCAACACAUAUACUAAAAUUGGAACGAUAUAGAGAAGAUUAGCAUGGCCCCUGCGCAAGGAUGACAGGCAAAUUCGUGAAGCAUUCCAUAUUUUU